CUCAGUGGUCAGGAUGAUUAUUGGGCCUAAAGCAUCCGUAGCCGGCUCUGUAAGUUUUCGGUUAAAUCUGUACGCUCAACGUACAGGCUGCCGGGAAUACUGCAGAGCUAGGGAGUGGGAGAGGUAGACGGUACUCGGGAGGAAGUGGUAAAAUGCUUUGAUCUCUCGAUGACCACCUGUGGCGAAGGCGGUCUACCAGAACACGUCCGACGGUGAGGGAGAAAGCA
rnacentral:rRNA from 1 species